rnacentral:rRNA from 1 species
CACGUAGGGGACGAGCGUUGUCCGGAUUCAUUGGGCGUAAAGAGCUCGUAGGCGGCUUGUCACGUCGGGUGUGAAAGACCGGGGCUUAACUCCGGUUCUGCAUUCGAUACGGGCUAGCUAGAGUGUGGUAGGGGAGAUCGGAAUUCCUGGUGUAGCGGUGAAAUGCGCAGAUAUCAGGAAGAACACCAAUGGCGAAAGCAGCUCUCUGGGACGGUACUGACGCUGAGACGCGAAAGCGUGGGGAGCGAACAGG